rnacentral:lncRNA from 1 species
AAAUAUAAGGUGUGCAUUGUUUAAAGUUUACAAUAUACCAGUGAAUAAAUAAAGAUGGCAAAAAAAAAUAGGGAUGAAAGUUUACAGAUUGAAGUAAAAUCAUCAGAAGAAUGGAAAAAUCUAAUGAAAAAACCUGGUUUAGCUGUUGUUGAUGUUUAUGCAGCUUGGUGUGGUCCAUGUAAAGCAAUUGUCAACAUUUUGAAAAGAAUUAAAAUCGAUUGCAGUGAUGAUCUCCUUAUU